AAUGUGUGUGAGAAACUGCAGCUUGAUAUUAAGCAUGAGAAAGCUCAUGCUGAAGAGAAAUCUUAUGAACAUGGUGAAAAUGCUAAAGCUUUCAGUUAUAAGAAAGGUCAGCAUUGGAAAUUUCAAACUUUGGAGGAAUCUUUUGAAUGUGAUGGAUCUGGACAAGGUUUAUAUGAUAAGACAAUUUGUAUUACACCUCAGAGUUUUCUAACAGGAGAAAAGUCCUGUAAGGAUGAUGAAUUUAGAAAAAAACUUUGAUAAAACCACUUUAUUUAACCACAUGAGAACUGACAAAAGGGGGAAAUGCUCUGAUCUUAAUGAAUAUGGGACAUCCUGUGACAAAACCACCGCUGUUGAAUACAAUAAAGUUCACAUGGCUAUGACACACUAUGAGUGUAAUGAAAGGGGGAUUAAUUUCAGUAGGAAGUCACCCCUCACUCAAUCUCAGAGAACUAUUACAGGAUGGAGUGCUUUUGAAAGCAAUAAAUGUGAAGAAAAUUUUAGCCAGAGCUCAGCCCAUAUAGUACAUCAGAAAACACAAGCUGGAGAUAAAUUUGGUGAACAUAAUGAAUGUACAGAUGCCCUCUACCAGAAAUUAGACUUUACAGCACAUCAGAGAAUUCACACAGACUUUACAGCACAUCAGAAAUUCUACCUUUCUGAUGAACAUGGGAAAUGCAGAAAAUCCUUUUACUGGAAAGCACACCUCAUUCAGCAUGAGAGGCCCCACUCAGGAGAGAAAACUUACCAAUAUGAGGAAUGUGCAAAAUCCUUUUGUUCAAGUUCACAUCCUAUUCAGCAUCCUGGAACUUAUGUGGGAUUCAAACUUUAUGAAUGUAAUGAAUGUGGGAAAGCUUUCUGUCAGAAUUCAAACCUCAGUAAACAUCUGAGAAUUCACACAAAAGAGAAACCUUGUGAUAACAAUGGCUGUGGGAGAUCUUACAAGUCACCCCUCAUAGGACACCAGAAAACAGAUGCAGAGAUGGAACUCUGUGGUGGCAGUGAAUAUGGGAAGACAUCACAUCUCAAAGGACAUCAGAGAAUUCUCAUGGGGGAGAAACCCUAUGAAUGUAUUGAAUGUGGGAAAACUUUCUCCAAGACAUCACAUCUCAGAGCACAUCAGAGAAUUCACACAGGUGAAAAACCCUAUGAAUGUGUUGAAUGUGAGAAAACUUUCUCUCACAAGACACACCUCAGUGUACAUCAGAGAGUUCACACAGGGGAGAAACCCUAUGAAUGUAAUGACUGUGGGAAAUCUUUUACCUAUAACUCAGCCCUGAGAGCACAUCAAAGAAUUCACACAGGUGAGAAGCCCUAUGAAUGCAGUGACUGUGAGAAAACUUUUGCCCAUAAUUCAGCCCUCAGAGCACAUCAUAGAAUUCACACGGGGGAGAAACCUUAUGAAUGUAAUGAAUGUGGAAGGUCUUUUGCCCAUAUUUCUGUUCUCAAGGCACAUCAAAGAAUUCACACAAGGGAGAAACCCUAUGAAUGUAAUGAAUGUGGGAGAUCUUUCACCUACAAUUCAGCCCUGAGAGCACAUCAGAGAAUUCACACAGGUAGAAAACCCUAUGAAUGUAGUGACUGUGAGAAAACUUUUGCCCAUAAUUCAGCCCUCAAAAUACAUCAGAGAAUUCACACGGGGGAGAAACCCUAUAAAUGUAAUGAAUGUGAGAAAACAUUUGCCCAUAAUUCAGCCCUUAGAGCACAUCAGAAUAUCCACACAGGGGAGAAACUCUAUGAAUGUAGUGAAUGUGGAAAAACUUUUUUCCAGAAGACACGCCUCAGUACACAUCGGAGAAUUCACACAGGGGAGAAACCCUAUGAAUGUAGCAAGUGUGGGAAAACUUUCUCCCAGAAAUCAUACCUCAGUGGACAUGAGAGAAUUCACACAGGGGAAAAACCGUAUGAAUGUAACGUAUGUGGGAAAACUUUUGUCUAUAAGGCAGCCCUCAUAGUGCAUCAAAGAAUUCACACAGGGGAGAAACCCUAUGAAUGUAACGAAUGUGGGAAAACUUUCUCCCAAAGAACACACCUCUGUGCACAUCAGAGAAUUCAUACUGGGGAAAAACCCUAUGAGUGUAAUGAAUGUGGGAAAACGUUUGCUGAUAAUUCAGCCCUCAGGGCACAUCACAGAAUUCACACAGGGGAGAAACCCUAUGAAUGUAAUGACUGUGGGAAGACUUUCUCCAAGACAUCACAUCUCAGAGCACAUCUUAGAACUCGCUCAGGGGAGAAGCCCUAUGAAUGCAGUGAAUGUGGGAAAACCUUCUCUGAGAAGUCAUAUGUUAGUGCACAUCAGAGAGUUCAUACGGGGGAGAAACCCUAUGAAUGUAAUGUAUGUGGGAAGCCAUUUGCCCAUAAUUCAACCCUCAGAGUACAUCAAAGAAUUCACACAGGGGAGAAAUCCUAUGAAUGUAAUGAUUGUGGGAAAACGUUCUCCCAGAAAUCACACCUUAGUGCACACCAGAGAAUUCACACAGGGGAGAAACCCUAUGAGUGUAAUGAAUGCGGGAAAGCUUUUGCCCAAAAUUCAACUCUCAGAGUACACCAGAGAAUUCACACAGGGGAGAAACCCUAUGAAUGUGAUGAAUGUGGGAAAACUUUUGUCCGUAAGGCAGCUCUUAGGGUACAUCACACCAGAAUGCAUACCAGAGAGAAAACCCUAGCAUGUAAUGGAUUUGGGAAGUCCUGAGGGAAUGCAUACCUUACCACAUAACACGUAGUGCAGAAACUCAUGUGACAUAGGCUGGGAACUUGUUUCCCUUAUCCAUUUCCUUUUUCAUUAGGCUCAUAGUUUGUGGAAAAAUCCCAAUAUGCCGUUUAUUCAGGUGGGGCUGACCAUGGGAUAUGGUGCUAAUGAUAUAUAUUACAUUUACUCUUGGCCCUUAAAAAAAAAAAAGAAAAACCCUCACAGUCUUCCUGGUUCAUAAUAUGGAUUUGGAGGUUAUUUCUGCAGCAAACUUGGGUCCUGUGUGUUCAAAACCAUAAAGCACAAGGUCAAGGAAGCUAGAGUCUGAAAAACGAACAAUUCACUUCCAGGUCUUCAUCAGGGUUUUGUUUUUGUUGCUUUAAAGCAAGAGUUAAGUUUAUAGUCUGUUAAGCUCUUACAAAUUUGGCUUAUUAGUUAAAUGGACGUAGUUUAGCUUAAACUUUAUGUUAGAGUGAGAUGAAACCCUAUGAAUAUAAUCAGUUUUAGAAAAACUAAUCAGUUUAUUGUGCAUCAGAGACGUCACAUGAAGAAGAAAACUUGUUGACAUCCAGGAUGAUCAGGAGCCUUCAUUAAAACAGAAAUUUUAGGGAAAACCACAAAAACCUUCGUAAAGUGAAUUGCAUUAAACAUCAAUUAUAAUAAAAUUUCAUAUUUUGAAUAAAUGA
rnacentral:lncRNA from 1 species